rnacentral:rRNA from 1 species
AACGUAGGAGACAAACGUUAUCCGGAGUUACUGGGCGUAAAGGGCGUGUAGGCGGUUAGUUAAGUCUGGCGUGAAAGCUCUCGGCUAAACCGGGAGAGGUCGUUGGAUACUGGCAAACUUGAGGACGGUAGAGGCGUGUGGAAUUCCGGGUGUAGUGGUGAAAUGCGUAGAGAUCCGGAGGAACACCAGUGGCGAAGGCGACACGCUGGGCCGUACCUGACGCUAAAGCGCGACAGCAUGGGGAGCAAACGGG